GGUUGAUCCUGCCAGUAGUCAUAUGCUUGUCUUAAAGAUUAAGCCAUGCAUGUCUAAGUAUAAGCAAUUAUACAGCGAAACUGCGAAUGGCUCAUUAAAUCAGUUAUAGUUUAUUUGAUAGUACCCUUACUACUUGGAUAACCGUAGUAAUUCUAGAGCUAAUACAUGCUAAAAAGUCCCAACUUGUGAAGGAAGGGAUGUAUUUAUUAGAUAAAAAAGCAAUGCAAAGGGGUAACUCUUUGGAACAUUGAUGAUUCAUAAUAACUGCGCGAAUCGUAUGGUCUUUUGUACCG
rnacentral:rRNA from 1 species